UACGGGGGGGGUAAGCGUUGUUCGGAAUUACUGGGCGUAAAGGGCUCGUAGGCGGCCAACUAAGUCAGACGUGAAAUCCCUCGGCUUAACCGGGGAACUGCAUCUGAUACUGGAUGGCUUGAGUUCGGGAGAGGGAUGCGGAAUUCCAGGUGUAGCGGUGAAAUGCGUAGAUAUCGAGAGGAACACCAGUGGCGAAGGCGCCUCACUGGCCGGUUACUGACACUGA
rnacentral:rRNA from 1 species